UCACAGAGAAUGGUGCGUUUAUCAUGAGCAACUUUGCCUUCGUUGAGGGUAAUUGACAUCAACUUGGCUCUGCUGCUCAAGAUGACGGUGCCCUUCACUUCCUCU